rnacentral:rRNA from 1 species
ACGCGGAAGAGGCCAAACCAGAGGUAGCAAUACCUUUGGGGUUCGGACAGCGCACGGUAUGGAAGGUAUCUAGCAGAAUGGCAUGGGAAGGCCAACGAGACAGGGUGAGAGUCCCGUAUGCGAAAGAGAAGAUCCGCCAGCUGAAUCCAGAGUACCGCCGGACACGUGAAACCCGGUGGGAAGACGGGGGGACCAUCCUCCAAGCCUAAAUACUACUCAGUGACCGAUAGUGAAGAGUACUGUGAAGGAAAGGUGAAAAGCACCCCGGGAGGGGAGUGAAAGAGAACCUGAAACCUUGUGCUUACAAGCACCGAGAGCCCGUCAACGGGUGAUCGGGUACCUUUUGUAGAAUGGUCCGGCGAGUGAAUGUAACUGGCAAGGUUAAGGACUUAAGGUCUGAAGCCGCAGCGAGAGCAAGUCUUAAUAGGGCGUAAGAAGUCAGUUGUAUUCGACCCGAAACCGGGUGACCUACCCAUGUCCAGGUUGAAGUGGAGGUAAAACUCCAUGGAGGACCGAACCGACUCCCGUUGAAAUGGUAGCGGAUGAGGUGUGGGUAGCGGAGAAAUUCCAAUCGAACCCGGAGAUAGCUGGUUCUCCUCGAAAUAGCUUUAGGGCUAGCCUCGCAUUAGUUUACCGGAGGUAGAGCACUGAAUGGUCUAGGGGGCCUCACCGCCUACCGAAACCUAUCAAACUGCGAAUGCCGGAUAAAUGAUGUGCGGGAGUCAGGCCGCGAGAGAUAAGUUCCGCGGUCAAAAGGGGAACACCCCAGAUCGUCUGCUAAGGUCCCCAAGUACGCGUUAAGUGGGAAAGGAUGUUGGAUUGCACAGACAACCAGGAUGUUGGCUUAGAAGCAGCCACACAUUCAAAGAGUGCGUAAUAGCUCACUGGUCGAGUGAUCCAGCGCCGAAAAUGUAACGGGGCUAAAACGCGACACCGAAGCAGCGGGAUGCGUAAGCAUCGGUAGAGGAGCAUUGUGUGAGGAUAGAAGCCAGAGCGGGAGCACUGGUGGACUUCACAGAAGAGAGAAUGCCGGUAUGAGUAGCGAGACCCAUGCGAGAAACAUGGGCGUCGAAGGCCCAAGGUUUCCUGGGGAAGGUUCAUCCACCCAGGGUAAGUCGGGACCUAAGCCGAGGACUGAGGUCGUAGGCGAUGGACAGCAGGUAGAGAUUCCUGCACCACUUACACUUGUUUGACGAAGCAGUGACACAGAAGGAUAGGACGAGCGCGGUGAUGGUCAACCGCGUAGGCAGCACGAGGCCGGGGAGCAGUUAAGUACACUUCCCAUGAAGGCUGAGUGCUGACAGGACCGAAAAAGAGUAGGGAAGCGUCUGAGUUCACGCUGGCGAGAAAAGCUGCUAAGGAGAGUGUGAGUGCCCGUACCGGAAACCGACGCAGGUGGGCGAGGAGAGAAUCCUGAGACGGACGGGAGAACUCUUGUUAAGGAACUCGGCAAAAUGACCCCGUAACUUCGGGAGAAGGGGUGCCUCGAAAGAGGCCGCAGAGAAUAGUCACAAGCGACUGUUUAGCAAAAACACAGGUAUCUGCGAAAGCGAGAGCUGACGUAUAGGUGCUGACGCCUGCCCGGUGCUGGAAGGUUAAGGGGAAGUGUUAGGGGAAACCCGAAGCAGAGAACCGAAGCCCCAGUAAACGGCGGCCGUAACUAUAACGGUCCUAAGGUAGCGAAAUUCCUUGUCGGGUAAGUUCCGACCCGCACGAAUGGCGUAACGACUUGUGAGCUGUCUCAACAGGAGGCCCGGUGAAAUUGAAGUAUGUGUGAAGAUGCACAUUACCCGCGACUGGACGGAAAGACCCCGUAGAGCUUUACUGUAACCUGACAUUGGAUCUUGAUAACGGAUGCACAGGAUAGGUGGGACGCAGAGAGACGAGGACUUCGGUUUUCGUGGAGCGGCCGUUGGGAUACCACUCUUCUGUUAUUGAGAUUCUAACCUCAAGCCGUAAGCCGGAUGAGAGACAGUGUCAGGCGGACAGUUUGACUGGGGCGGUCGCCUCCGAAAGAGUAACGGAGGCGCCCAAAGGUACCCUCAGAAUGGAUGGAAACCAUUCGAAGAGAGCAAAGUCAGAAGGGUGCUUGACUGCGAGACCAACAAGUCGAGCAGGUACGAAAGUAGGGCUUAGUGAUCCGGCGGUAAGAGAGUGGAAUUGCCGUCGCUCAACGGAUAAAAGCUACCUCGGGGAUAACAGGCUGAUCUCCCCCAAGAGUUCACAUCGACGGGGAGGUUUGGCA